rnacentral:lncRNA from 1 species
GUCCUACUUCGACAACGGGGAGAGCUUCGGGCCCGACAGCGACGACAACGGCGACGAGGCCGUGUACUGACCCCAGAGGGGCACUGAACCCCAAAAAUGGGCACUGAACCCCAAAAACGGGCACUGACCCCAAAGGGGCACUGAAACGGGUACUGACCCCGAAAGGGGCACUGCACCCCAAAAUGGGCACUGAACCCAAAAUGGGCGCCCCAAAAUGGGUACUGACCCCAAAAUGGGCACCCCAAAAAUGGGUACUGACCCCAAAGGGGCACUGAACCCCGAAAACGGGCACUGACCCCCAAAACUGGGCACCCCAAAAAUGGGCACUGACCCCAAAAUGGGCACCCCAAAAUGGGUACUGACCCCAGAGGGGCACUGAACCCCAAAAAUGGGCACUGAACCCCAAAAAAUGGGUACUGACCCUGAAAGGGGCACUGACCCCCAAAAAUGGGUACUGACCCCAAAAUGGGCACCCCAAAAUGGGUACUGACCCCAGAGGGGCACUGAACCCCAAAAAUGGGUACUGACCCCAAAAACGGGCACCCCAAAAGGGGUACUGACCCCAAAAGGGGCACUGAACCCCAAAAAUGGGCACCCCAAAAGGGGUACUGACCCCGAAAGGGGCACUGAACCCCAAAAUUGGGCACCCCGAAAUGGGUACUGACCCCAAAAGGGGCACUGACCCCAAAACUGGCACUGACCCCAAAAAUGGGCACCCCGAAAUGGGUACUGACCCCAAAAUGAGCACCCCGACAGGGGGCACACCCUAUUGGGGUCCCUGUUCCUCCCCUUGGGGACAUUGGGGUGACAUUGGGGACAUUGGGGUCCCUGUCACCCUUUGGGGACAUUGGG